CUGGAUGCUCUGGUUUUCUCCCACCCCUCAAAGAGGUGCAUGUUCAGUUCACCGGCAUGUCUACAUGGUCCUGGUGUGAGUGUGGGGUGUGUGUGAGUGUGCCCUGCGAUGUGACAGUGUCCUGUUCAGGGCUGGUUCUUACUUUAAGCCCUGAGCUGCUGGAAUGAGCUACAGCAACCGGAGACUGGAGACUCCGGCAACCUAGAGAACUGUUAUUAUUGACGUCAGCCCAAGAAGAAUGCAAUGUCCAGGAAGCUACCAAAGGAAUAAAACUACAUGAGCACAUACUUCUCUUCCAAUUCAAGAGUGGCCCGCCUUAUCCCUUCACAGGCUGACUUCCCAUCUUACUGUGGCAGCCUCUGCUGCUGUUACCUGCUUGAGGCUUUCUUAUUGUGGGCCUCCCACUCGUGUUUCCGAUUGAGGAAGCCUUCCAUCUGGGCCGAAGGUGUCUCCUGGGUUCUGGCUGGGACAGCGGAGAGGCCAUUCAGCUAACUCCGUGAGCCAUGGGGGUGACCACAUACGCUCUACCUGACUCGCACAUGUGGCUGUGUAUAAAUGCCUGGCACAGAUCGAGGCAGUACAGUAAAACCAUUGCACACCCACAAAGCCAGCUGGACAUCAAGGACAUUAGAAGGUGGGAAUGGAUUAAUACCCGCCCAUUUACAGGGAAAUGAGAAAAGCGAAAUGCCAGUAUGAGUUUUACUGCACUCUAUUCCUCUGAUCAAUAAAUAUAACUCAGAUCA